rnacentral:rRNA from 1 species
AUUGAACGCUGGCGGCAGGCCUAACACAUGCAAGUCGAACGGUAACAGGAAGCAGCUUGCUGCUUUGCUGACGAGUGGCGGACGGGUGAGUAAUGUCUGGGAAACUGCCCGAUGGAGGGGGAUAACUACUGGAAACGGUAGCUAAUACCGCAUAACGUCGCAAGACCAAAGAGGGGGACCUUAGGGCCUCUUGCCAUCGGAUGUGUCCAGAUGGGAUUAGCUAGUAGGUGGGGUAACGGCUCACCUAGGCGACGAUCCCUAGCUGGUCUGAGAGGAUGACCAGCCACACUGGAACUGAGACACGGUCCAGACUCCUACGGGAGGCAGCAGUGGGGAAUAUUGCACAAUGGGCGCAAGCCUGAUGCAGCCAUGCCGCGUGUAUGAAGAAGGCCUUCGGGUUGUAAAGUACUUUCAGCGGGGAGGAGGGGAGUAAAGUUAAUACCUUUGCUCAUUGACGUUACCCGCAGAAGAAGCACCGGCUAACUCCGUG